ACCGUAUAGGGGAGCCGUAGGGAAACCGAGUCUUAACCGGGCGUUAAGUUGCAGGGUAUAGACCCGAAACCCGGUGAUCUAGCCAUGGGCAGGUUGAAGGUUGGGUAACACUAACUGGAGGACCGAACCGACUAAUGUUGAAAAAUUAGCGGAUGACCUGUGGCUGGGGGUGAAAGGCCAAUCAAACCGGGAGAUAGCUGGUUCUCCCCGAAAGCUAUUUAGGUAGCGCCUCGUGAAUUCAUCUCCGGGGGUAGAGCACUGUUUCGGCUAGGGGGCCAUCCCGGCUUACCAACCCGAUGCAAACUGCGAAUACCGGAGAAUGUUAUCACGGGAGACACACGGCGGGUGCUAACGUCCGUCGUGAAGAGGGAAACAACCCAGACCGCCAGCUAAGGUCCCAAAGUCAUGGUUAAGUGGGAAACGAUGUGGGAAGGCCCAGACAGCCAGGAUGUUGGCUUAGAAGCAGCCAUCAUUUAAAGAAAGCGUAAUAGCUCACUGGUCGAGUCGGCCUGCGCGGAAGAUGUAACGGGGCUAAACCAUGCAC
rnacentral:rRNA from 1 species